rnacentral:rRNA from 1 species
UACGAAGGGGGCUAGCGUUGCUCGGAAUUACUGGGCGUAAAGGGCGCGUAGGCGGAUAGUUUAGUCAGAGGUAAAAGCCCAGGGCUCAACCUUGGAACUGCCUUUGAUACUGGCUAUCUUGAGUUCGGGAGAGGUGAGUGGAAUGCCGAGUGUAGAGGUGAGAUUCGUAGAUAUUCGGCGGAACACCAGUGGCGAAGGCGACUCACUGGCCCGAUACUGACGCUGAGGUGCGAAAGCGUGGGGAGCAAACAGG